GUUGUGGCUCAGUGGUAGAGCACUCGCCUGGCAUGCCUGAGGCCCUGGGUUCAAUCCCCACCACA
rnacentral:tRNA from 1 species